CCUGUGCGCCUUGUAAUGGGUGCCCUUCACAGGGUGAAACGGGAAACCGGUGAAUCGUGUGCUUUACUUCAAGGCCACGUCAGUCCGGUGCUGCCCCCGCAACGGUAAGCGAGCGAAGCGUCUGAACCACUGUGUCCCAGGACAUGGGAAGGUGACGCUUGCAGGCCAGGCGCAAGCCCCGCCCCUCGCGAGCCCGGAGACCGGCCCAUGACUCAUGCAUCAA
rnacentral:ncRNA from 2 species